rnacentral:lncRNA from 1 species
GUGGGGACAUCAGGGAUCAGACCAGACGACCUUUUGGUGAGCAGUCACUUAGACAGCAGGUCCAGUGACCUCAGGACCUUUAAAGAGUCAAGGGGAUUGGGGAGAUAGUUGUGAAUUGUUUUGCUGUAGACCGAUCACAUAGGGGGUGAAGGAGGGAUACGUCAGGAGAAUCUUACUGAAACUGUUACUUCAGCUUUCCCAAGUGAACUUUCACCAGUUUGCAGCUUUAAUCUGAGGCAAAACCAGGAAAAAUCUGAUUGCCUGGAAGACUGCUAGUUUUUAUCUCCCCUAGCUAUGCAUUUCAAACCAUUUCUGUAGGACCAGCCUUGGAAGAAAACGAAUGGUCUGAUUAUACAGCAUUGCAGUGUCUCAGGUAACAAACGCAUGACAGCUAUUUAACCAAUACCUGGGAAGCCAACCAGCAAGGGUGGCAUUAAUGAUUUUGCAGAAAGUUAACUAAGUACAUCUAUCACUUUGUCAUGUAGGGUAAAAGAAAGCAUCAGUCAAAGAAGGAAGAGGGGAGCAGUCUAUGCUUCCUUUUUUAGGUUCUGCUGAAAUCUGCUCUAAGAAUCAAUACAGCUGGAGCUGUGAACAGUACUCAGGCUGAUUAAAUGUAACAGGGAUAGAAAGGGGAGGAGCAAGGCCAGAAGCUGAUCUGGAGCUAAACAGAAGCAUACUGUGGGUCAGGAAAACACCAGGGGUUUACUAAAGGGCUCUCCAAUGGCGAUGCCCUAAAAUUAGUCUCCAGGGGCUUAGCCAUUCCAGUUAUCUUCAAACAAGGGCUUCACCUUAACCAGCUUUGAAAAUGCUCCUGUUCACACACAGGUUGCACUCUCAGAGUCAGAUAUUUCCAAUACUUUCCUAAGAAAGACUAUGCUGAAGUUAUUUCUCCUUGGGACAGAUUCACAGCUGGAGUGAAUACAGGCACCUUCAACUAUAAUCUCAGUUUACAAGAGCUGGGGUUUCAGCCAGCUGAUUUUCACAGCUCCUAACUGCAUCAAGCAAGGCUGUACAAUUCCUCUCUUCUCCUUCCUCCCUUGAAGAAGAGGCAUUGUAUACACCUUUCCAUCCCUUUUCCUCUCGGAAAAUCAGUUCCAGAGGGUCACAGGGGAGUUCACACAUCGCAGAAGGGAACUUGUUGUGCAAUGGCCACUACCAUUAAUACCUUUGAUAUGGAAAUAAAAGGUAAGAGAAAAAUUUCUAAUAGCUUCAUGGUGUCCCUGCAUCUGUGAGUUUUGCAUUAGUUAC